AAGCAGCAACAGAUGAUGGCCUUCUUGGCUAGAGCUUUGAAGAACCCCACCUUCAUCCAGCAGCUACUCCAGCAGAAAGAGAAGAGGAAGGAGCUUGAAGAGGCCAUCUCAAAGAAGAGGAGAAGACCAAUUGAGCAAGGACCAAGAGGGGUUGGAGAAUCAAGCAUUGGAAGGGAAGGAAUAAGCAGUGUUAAAGUGGAGUCCCAAGUGUUUGGGGAAUAUGGAUUUGGAGUCUCAGAGUUGGAAGUUCUGGCUUUGGAGAUGCAAGGUUAUGGUAGGGGAAAAAGGGAACAAGAAGAAGAGCCUGAGGCACUAGAAUCACAAGAGAG
rnacentral:lncRNA from 1 species